UAGCUUGUCUCUCCUGUCCUAUUAGGGUCCUGUUUGCAUCCAACCAGUUGUUUCCAAGAGCUAGGCUUUGAUACUUAAAAUAAGAACCACUAUGGGUAUUUCUAGUUAUAGUUUCUUUCUGUUUUUAUUUGUUGUCAUAAUCCCAAACCUAGAAGCUCAUAUCGCUGAGUAUGACGAGUACUGGACGGCACGAGAAUUGGAAGCCAUUGAGAACCUGGACAAGGCCUAUCACUCCAACCCGGAGGAGGUGGUCCGCCAUUACAAUGACCACUUCUCUAGGACCAUGCUCGAGUUUUAUAUCACCAAAAGGGUGUUGGCAGAAUCAAAAAAGGGUCCCUGUGAGGUUACCAACCACGUUGACAGUUGCUGGCGAUGUGAUCCUGACUGGGAAAAGAAUAGGAAGAAGUUGGCCAACUGUGCCCCUGGAUUUGCUCGAGGUACUACCGGUGGAAAGGAUGGUGAGUUUUACGUGGUCACUGACCCUAUUGAUAAUGCUGCUGACCCCAAGCCUGGAACUCUGCGUCAUGCUGUCACCCAAACUGGACCACUUUGGAUCACUUUCAAAGGGUCCAUGACCAUCAAGCUGCAACAGGAGCUCAUUGUUACAAGUGAUAAGACCAUUGAUGCGAGGGGAGCCAAUGUGGAAAUUUGUAAUGGUGCUGGUAUCACUAUCCAAUUUGUGAAGAAUAUCAUUAUCCAUGGCCUUCAAAUCCAUCACAUUAUUCCCGCCAAGGGUGGCAAGAUCAAGGAUGGUGAAAACCACCAUGGGUUACGGGGUGACAGCGACGGAGACGGGGUGUCUAUUUUUGGAUCAACCAAUGUUUGGCUUGACCAUCUUGCCCUUCACCAUUGCGCCGAUGGCCUUAUCGAUGUCGUUCAAGGAUCAACUGCCGUUACCGUUUCUAACUGCCACUUCACUGACCAUAACGAUGUAAGCUUACUUUCCUUUCAAUUUUAAACUACGCACGAUGAGGAAUUUUUUGAUUGACAAAAAUAAUACAAUUGAAAUGAAAAAAAUUACAGGUGAUGUUGUUUGGAGCAAGCGACUCUUACAGUGCCGACAAGAAGAUGCAGGUCACUGUUGCUUUGAACCACUUCGGUAAAGGAUUGGUAGAGAGGAUGCCUAGGUGUCCGAUUUGGUUUUAUUCAUGUCGUCAACAAUGACUACAAUCACUGGUUCCUGUAUGCCAUUGGCGGCACCAGCAACCCUACAAUUAUCAGCCAGGGAAAUAGGUAUUCAGCGCCAGGCUUUGGGGCUAAAGAGGUGACCUGUAGGGGCCUCUUAAAGCCGGGACAGUGGAAGAAUUGGAAUUGGGUAUCACAAGGUGACCACUUCGAGAACGGUGCCUUCUUUACACCAUCAGGUAAUCCAAGUGCCAGCAAGCAAUUUGGCGCCGACAAAAUGAUGCCUUUCAAACCUGGUCAAAUGGUCCCCGAGCUCACAAAGUAUGCCGGACCACUAAGCUGCACAAUCGGCCGUCCUUGCUAAAAAUGCUAUUUUUAUAUGCAUUUGUCCUCCCUUUUUUACGUACAAUAUUUGAUACCCAAGCAUAGUACAUUUGGUAUCUUUUCUGAAUGAUUGUCAGUAAAUUUUCUUUUAUGCGAUCCCACCCUAUUCUCUUCUCCUCUCCUACUAAUAGAUAAUCACAAUUUUUUUCGAACGCGUAACUGUGGAAGUCAGAAAUUUUUAACAUAAAUGUUUGUUUGAAAAUAACAUAUAAUGAAUAAUGAAAUGUGUGGUUUGAAAUAAAGUAACAAUAAUAACAUUGAUUAUCAUGGUGUUUUCCUCAAUCUUUAGUUGGUGUAGGCACCAAAUCAAUCAAAUACAUUAAUCUAACAUAUCUAGUAUAUAUAUUCUAUUGCAAGGUUAUUUUGGAUUUGUGGAAACCUUCAGUUUGAAGUGAGUUUAGAAUUCGCUAUGCGUCACCAAUCAUUUCAUGACAGGAAUGGAAAUUAAUGAAAUAAAAUAUUUGGUUAGAACUAAAGUUGCGUAAUUAAUUAAAAAUUUUAACAAUCGCGAGACCAUUUAGUUUCUAUAAAUUUUGUAUGUCCCGACUUACAUAUUCGGGUAAUUAGUCAUUUGUCAAAACACAUCAAAGUGAGAAAAGAAAAAAACAAGAAUCAUGAGCAUUCCUCAUAUAGUAAUAUUCAUAAUAAUGCAAUCGCAACGGUGAUUCCACCAGGUGUUCUUGCAUCACCAAGAACUAAAUUGAUUUUCUAGAACAACAUUUAUAAUGGAGACAUCAAGUAUGUAUUUAAGGUGGUGUAUGAGUUUGAUUUCUUUAAGACUCGGCGGGGGUCGGGGAGCCGCCCAAGACAUUGCUUUUACCAGUAUAAAGUCAAAUACUGAAGCAAAAAAACUUGCAAAGCCGAGAGGACAUAGGAUUAAUAAUUCAGCAUCUAUGUUUUGAGUUGUUCCAUAGUUGACGCGUGGUAUCAGCUUAGUAAGGGCUUAAAUAAUCGUAGAGACAUUUAUAAUUGAUGGACAUAAUUAAGUAUGCGUAACAAAUUUGAAAUUCAUAAAAGAAAAUCAAUGCUUUGGUACAGUGUUAAAUUUAAGGUUUUACUAGCAUAAUAAUUUAAGUCACCACAGAGGUUCAAUAUACACUCGAAUCUCUGUACUCUUUUAGACUUUUAAAAUUUGAAUACAUAGUGCUUUUAUAUUCAAAGGUCCAAGUAAUAAAUUAGAGUCCAAUUCAUAUCACAUAUUCAGAUUUGAGAGAAAUAAAUAAACUCUCUUACCAAUUGAACUUUUAUUUUUUAAAUCAACCAAGUGCAAGGAUUAAAAUCUUGAAAUUGAAAGGAGAGAGGUUUCAUCUGGAAAUGUUGAAGAGUAAAGGGAUUGGAGGAUAAUUAGAGAUUUUUUUUUGUAAUUUCUGAAAUUAGACGUUUAGAAUGGUCUAAAAAAUACAAGAAAACCUCAACUGUUUCUAUCCAAAAAAAAGGAAACAAAAUCAACCAUUUUUUACGCACUUGAAACACUAGUAGCCAAGUGUGUUUUGUAAAUUUGGAAAUUUUCAUGAAUCCCGGUGUACUAUAAAUAGUGACAUAAUGAUGGUGUUUCCAAGCAAAUCAUGCUCGAGUUCAAGUUUUUGGUGCCGUAGCUUGUCUCUCCUGUCCUAUUAGGGUCCUGUUUGCAUCCAACCAGUUGUUUCCAAGAGCUAGGCUUGAUACUUAAAAUAAGAACCACUAUGGGUAUUUCUAGUUAUAGUUUCUUUCUGUUUUUAUUUGUUGUCAUAAUCCCAAACCUAGAAGCUCAUAUCGCUGAGUAUGACGAGUACUGGACGGCACGAGAAUUGGAAGCCAUUGAGAACCUGGACAAGGCCUAUCACUCCAACCCGGAGGAGGUGGUCCGCCAUUACAAUGACCACUUCUCUAGGACCAUGCUCGAGUUUUAUAUCACCAAAAGGGUGUUGGCAGAAUCAAAAAAGGGUCCCUGUGAGGUUACCAACCACGUUGACAGUUGCUGGCGAUGUGAUCCUGACUGGGAAAAGAAUAGGAAGAAGUUGGCCAACUGUGCCCCUGGAUUUGCUCGAGGUACUACCGGUGGAAAGGAUGGUGAGUUUUACGUGGUCACUGACCCUAUUGAUAAUGCUGCUGACCCG
rnacentral:lncRNA from 1 species